rnacentral:sRNA from 2 species
AGCGCCGUUAUUGGGGAGUAGCCGAUUUCUGUUAAUACAGAAAUGCACCUGUCAACAUACUCGUUGUUAAUUCAACGUGGCAUGUGCGACCGUUUACGGUAGGCGAGACCAUUGACCGAUGUGCCUGUCUGGUUGGGAAGGUGCAUUUGGUUAUGGUAUUCCCGGCCGAGG